AUACCUUUCUCGGCCUUUUGGCUAAGAUCAAGUGUAGUAUCUGUUCUUAUCAGUUUAAUAUCUGAUAUGUGGGCCAAUGGCCCACUCGGUAUUAAAUUAAUUUUUUUUUGGGGAGAGUUUGCCACAGUAGCUUGCUACUGGGCCUCUUGUGGGUCGCCUUGGCGUUGCACUACAGCCUAGGCCUGGCCCACCCCAC